rnacentral:misc_RNA from 1 species
GAUGAAGAACGUAGCGAAAUGCGAUAAGUAGUGUGAAUUGCAGAAUUCAGUGAAUCAUCGAAUCUUUGAACGCACAUUGCGCCCUUUGGUAUUCCUUAGGGCAUGCCUGUUCGAGCGUCAUUUGAAACCUCAAGCUCAGCUUGGUGUUGGGUGUCUGUCCCCGCCUCCGCGGGGACUCGCCUCAAAAUCAUUGGCGGCCGGUACGUUGGCUUCGAGCGCAGCAGAAACGCGAACUCGAGGCCCGGCGGAUCGGCGACCAGAAGUCUCUUCUUCACAGUUUGACCUCGGAUCAGGUAGGGAUACCCGCUGAACUUAAGAAUAUCAAUAAGCGGAGGA